GCACGCGUUAGGAAAGUCCGGGCAUCACAGAGCAGGAUAGCUGCUAACGGCAGCCGAGGGCGACCUUAGGGAAAGUGCAGCAGAAAUAUACCGCCCCUUUUGGGAUAUUUCCCCCUUCGGGAUAUUUCCCCCUUUUGGGGUAAGGGUGGAAAGGUGAGGUAAGAGCUCACCGGAGCGGUGGAGACGCCGCUGCCGUGUAAACCCUAUCCGAUGCAACGUCUAUUGGUACGUGUACGUCAAUGUCUGCUCGGCAGGCGUACCGUAAUGACGGCUAAAGCGUUUCGGCGACGAUUCGCUCAGAUAGAUUUCCGCACACGACAAAACCCGGCUUAUCGGCUUAGUC
rnacentral:RNase_P_RNA from 1 species